AAUGAACGUUGGCGGCGUGGAUUAGGCAUGCAAGUCGAGCGAGAACCCCGCAAGGGGGGACAGCGGCGAAAGGGACAGUAAUGUGUAGAUUAUCUGCCCUCAGGUCCGGGAUAGCUGCGGGAAACUGCAGGUAAUACCGGAUAACAUCUCCGGAUCAAAGGUGUGAUUCCGCCUGAGGAUGAGUCUGCAUCCUAUUAGCUAGUUGGUGGGGUAAUGGCCUACCAAGGCAUUGAUGGGUAGCAGGUGUGAGAGCACGACCUGCGUCAUUGGGACGGAGACACUGCCCAGACACCUACGGGUGGCUGCAGUCGAGAAUCUUCGGCAAUGGGCGCAAGCCUGACCGAGCGACGCCGCGUGUGGGAUGAAGGCCUUCGGUUUGUAAACCACUGUCAGAGGGGAUGAAAUGCAGGUGGGUUCUCCCAUCUGUUUGACAUAGCCUCAGAGGAAGGACGGGCUAAGUUCGUG
rnacentral:rRNA from 1 species